rnacentral:rRNA from 1 species
AUGGGGACAACAGACGGAAACGACUGCUAAUACCGAAUAAGUUCCAAGAGCCGCAUGGCCCAUGGAAGAAAAGGUAGGCCUCUACCUGUAAGCUAUCGCCUGAAGAGGGGUUUGGCGUCUGAUUAGCUGGUUGGAGGGGUAACGGCCCACCAAGGCGACGAUCAGUAGCCGGUCUGAGAGGAUGAACGGCCACACUGGAACUGAGACACGGUCCAGACUCCUACGGGAGGCAGCAUG